GGCCGAGCGGUGCUGUAAGCCUUUAGGAGCGAGUGCAGACAACGUGAUUGCUGGUUCCUGUUACACUCAGAAAUCAGAAUCUAUUGAAGAUGGUGCCUGGUUUGUCAUCAGUAUUGAAGCACAGAGCAUCAUUCACCUCUGGAAUCUCAAUGAUGAAGUGUGGAUCUCCAUCAACUGCAAAGUGUAAAAAAGGAGGUUGGUUUCCCCUUUUGAGUCUUGGCUCCUCUCAAGGUUUCAUCCUCUUGCUCUGAGGGAGUUUUUACUUGCCACUGUCACCCUGCGCUUGGGGCUUGGACACGGAUUUUCUGCAAAGCUACUUUGUGACAACACCCAUUAGAAAGACUUACCCGACGUGGGAUCUCCAUCUGUCAGAAGGAUGAUCAUGGAUGCGCUGUGGUCCGGGAGGGAGCUGUUUUUCUUGGCUGCAGUUAGCAUGUCCACAGCGUG